GACGAACCUGACGAACGUUAUUCGGAAUCACUUGGGACGUUAAAGGGUGCGUGAGGCUGUACAGGAAAGUUGGGUGUGAAAGGCCCUCGGACUCAACCGAGGAACUGCGCCCGAUACUGUGGGGCUCGAGGAGACAGAGGUAAGCGGAACUGAUGGUGGAGCGGUGAAAUGCGUUGAUAUCAUCAGGACACCAGUGGCGAAAGCGGCUUACUGGGCUCUUCUGACGCUGAGAUACGAAAGCUAGGG
rnacentral:rRNA from 1 species